rnacentral:lncRNA from 1 species
GUGAGAAAGGCCUCUGAGAACUGGAACUCACGUUGGGCCUCAACUACAGAGGGAAGAAGAGGAGGGACACCAGAAGUAGCAUGAACAGUAUGUAUAAAGGUCUAAGAACAGGAAGUAAGCCUGUUCUGCCCAAAAUAGAGAGCCAGGAAAUGGUAUGGGCACACGGUGCUCCCAGGGGGCUGUAACUGACUGUGUAGCCUGCCUUUCCUCCUGUGGGAAGCUCUCUUGAGAGCACUUCAGGAUGCAAGACAUCGGGCAACCAAGCAGCUGUGCUUCACAGUUGGACCACACCAAGCUUCUGCCUAUGCAGCCAAUAAACAAACUAAGGCCCUGAGACAGAAAUGGCAUGGAGUACUACACAGUAAUUGAUGUUAUAAUCAGGAAAAGCAUUACAGGGAGGGGACAGCAAAUUUCCCGUGAAAAGGAGAUGGCUGGGUUGCUGACACAGGCUACAUCAUUGCAGAACCCUGAGAGCAGGGAAGAUGCAGACAGGUUCAUGAAUUUGAACAAUUGGUUGCCAGUUGGUGGCGCUGUUUGGAGAGGCUGUAAAGCCUUUAGGAGAUGGAGCCUUGAAGGAGGAAGUCAGUCACUGAAGCAGGCUCCGGGAGUUCCUAUCCUUGGCCCACUUCAGUUCCGUUUCUUCUUUCUGUUAGCUGUUCUUCAAUGUGUGAUAGAUAUCCAAGAUGUGCAAGCUAAGCUUCAUGUUCCAGCCACCAACUGCCAUGCCUCUGCUGCCAUUACAGACUCCUACCCCUGGAACUGUAGCCAAAAUAAACACCUCCAUAAUUUGCUCCUGGCCACAGUAUUUUAUUACAGCAACAGAAAAGCAAUUAAGACAGUAAAUAAAAAUAAAAAAGUAUAAAUAAAAAAAAACUGGAUCUAAAAGUGGAGUUAUUAUAACCACACCUAACAUUGCAGUUUUUAAGCCUUUGGAAUUAGUUUUCCAAAAACUCUU